AGCUUUGUGCAGUGGCAGUAUUGUAGCCAACGAGGUUUAUCUGAGGCGCAAUUAUUGCUAACUGAAUAUUCACUUAUUGUUCAUCUCCCUGAGUGGGAGCUCCCGAGGGCAGAGUCCCUAUCUGCCUGCUGCUGAAUCCUUAGCACCCAAAGGAUGCAGGGUUUGUAUAAAACACUUCAUAAGU
ensembl:snRNA U4 U4 spliceosomal RNA